rnacentral:rRNA from 1 species
UCGAUGAAGAACGCAGCGAAAUGCGAUAAGUAAUGUGAAUUGCAGAAUUCAGUGAAUCAUCGAAUCUUUGAACGCACAUUGCGCCCCUUGGUAUUCCGAGGGGCAUGCCUGUUCGAGCGUCAUUAUGACCACUCAAGCCCGGCUUGGUGUUGGGGUCCGCGGUCCCGCGGCCCUUAAAAUCAGUGGCGGCGCCAUCUGGCUCUAAGCGUAGUAAUACUCCUCGCUAUAGGGUUCCCGGUGGAUGCUUGCCAUCAACCCCCAAUCUCACGGUUGACCUCGGAUCAGGUAGGGAUACCCGCUGAACUUAA